rnacentral:rRNA from 1 species
GAUGAACGCUGGCGGCGUGCCUAAUACAUGCAAGUCGAGCGAACAGACGAGGAGCUUGCUCCUCUGACGUUAGCGGCGGACGGGUGAGUAACACGUGGAUAACCUACCUAUAAGACUGGGAUAACUUCGGGAAACCGGAGCUAACACCGGAUAAUAUAUUGAACCGUAUGGUUCAAUAGUGAAAGACGGUUUUGCUGUCACUUAUAGAUGGAUCCGCGCCGCAUUAGCUAGUUGGUAAGUUAACGGCUUAUCAAGGGAAGGAUGCGUAGCCGAACGGAGAGGGGGAUCGGCGACACGAGAGGGUAGACGCGGACCAGAGGCCUGCGGGAGGGAGCAGAAGGGAAUCUGACGCAGUAGGCGAGAACAUGGCAGAACAACGCCACGUGAGAGGUGAAGAUCUUCGGUGCGUAAUACUCUGUUAUUAGGGAAGAACAAAUGUGUAAGUAACUGUACACGUCUUGACGGUACCUAAUCAGAAAGCCACGGCUAACUACGUG